GACGAACGCUGGCGGCGUGCUUAACACAUGCAAGUCGAACGGAAAGGCCCUGCUUUUGUGGGGUGCUCGAGUGGCGAACGGGUGAGUAACACGUGAGUAACCUGCCCUUGACUUUAGGAUAACUUCAGGAAACUGGGGCUAAUACCGGAUAGGAGCUCCUGCUGCAUGGUGGGGGUUGGAAAGUUUCGGCGGUUGGGGAUGGACUCGCGGCUUAUCAGCUUGUUGGUGGGGUAGUGGCUUACCAAGGCUUUGACGGGUAGCCGGCCUGAGAGGGUGACCGGCCACAUUGGGACUGAGAUACGGCCCAGACUCCUACGGGAGGCAGCAGUGGGGAAUAUUGCACAAUGGGCGGAAGCCUGAUGCAGCAACGCCGCGUGCGGGACGACGGCCUUCGGGUUGUAAACCGCUUUCGCCUGUGACGAAGCGUGAGUGACGGUAAUGGGUAAAGAAGCACCGGCUAACUACGUG
rnacentral:rRNA from 1 species